AGUCUACCCAGAGAAACAGAGGAAACAGCUAAAUCACCACAACUCUAAACUAAGACAAAGACAUGAUAACAAUAUACAUAGUGUAGAAUAAAAAGUUUCCUUCCCCGAGCACGAGGAACUCACCCGGAUGUGGUUCUUGCCGAGGCGCUCCCACAGAUGGUCGCUCUUAGGAUUGACGGGCACCACUACGUGGUGAACAGUCUCCGGAACAGAGUCCUCCCCCUUCAGAUCCACCCAGGUGGGAAAGUGCAUGAUGCGCUCGGAUAACUUCUUCACAUCGAA